GACGAACGCUGGCGGCGUGCCUAAUACAUGCAAGUAGAACGCUGAAGGAGGAGCUUGCUUCUCUGGAUGAGUUGCGAACGGGUGAGUAACGCGUAGGUAACCUGCCUGGUAGCGGGGGAUAACUAUUGGAAACGAUAGCUAAUACCGCAUAACAGUAGAUAUCGCAUGAUAUCUACUUGAAAGGUGCAAUUGCAUCACUACCAGAUGGACCUGCGUUGUAUUAGCUAGUUGGUGAGGUAACGGCUCACCAAGGCGACGAUACAUAGCCGACCUGAGAGGGUGAUCGGCCACACUGGGACUGAGACACGGCCCAGACUCCUACGGGAGGCAGCAGUAGGGAAGCUUCGGCAAUGGACGGAAGUCUGACCGAGCAACGCCGCGUGAGUGAAGAAGGGUUUCGGAUCGUAAAGCUCUGUUGUAAGAGAAGAACGAGUGUGAGAGUGGAAAGUUCACACUGUGACGGUAUCUUACCAGAAAGGGACGGCUAACUACGUG
rnacentral:rRNA from 1 species